rnacentral:rRNA from 1 species
GACGAACGCUGGCGGCGUGCUUAACACACGCAAGUCGAACGAUGAAGCUAGAGCUUGCUCUGGUGAAUUAGUGGCGAACGGGUGAGUAACACGUGAGUAACCUGCCCCGAACUCUGGGAUAACUGCUGGAAACGGUAGCUAAUACUGGAUACGACCUACGAAGGCAUCUUCUGUAGGUGGAAAGAAUUUCGGUUCGGGAUGGACUCGCGGCCUAUCAGCCUGUUGGUGAGGUAAUGGCUCACCAAGGCGACGACGGGUAGCCGGCCUGGGAGGGUGACCGGCCACACUGGGGCUGAGACACGGCCCAGACUCCUACGGGAGGCAGCAGUGGGGAAUAUUGCACAAUGGGCGCAAGCCUGAUGCAGCAACGCCGCGUGAGGGAUGACGGCCUUCGGGUUGUAAACCUCUUUUAGUAGGGAAGAAGCGAAAGUGACGGUACCUGCAGAAAAAGCACCGGCUAACUACGUGCCAGCCGCCGCCGUAA